rnacentral:rRNA from 1 species
GUGAGGAAUAUUGGUCAAUGGGCGGGAGCCUGAACCAGCCCAGUCGCGUGAAGGAAGAAGGAUCUAUGGUUCGUAAACUUCUUUUGCAGGGGAAUAAAGUGCAGGACGUGUCCUGUUUUGUAUGUACCCUGAGAAUAAGGAUCGGCUAACUCCGUGCCAGCAGCCGCGGUAAUACGGAGGAUCCGAGCGUUAUCCGGAUUUAUUGGGUUUAAAGGGUGCGUAGGUGGUUUGAUAAGUCAGCGGUGAAAGUUUGCAGCUUAACUGUAAAAAUGCCGUUGAAACUGUCGGACUUGAGUGUAAAUGAGGUAGGCGGAAUGCGUGGUGUAGCGGUGAAAUGCAUAGAUAUCACGCAGAACUCCGAUUGCGAAGGCAGCUUACUAAGCUACAACUGACACUGAAGCACGAAAGCGUGGGGAUCAAACAGGAUUAGAUACCCUGGUAGUCC